UACGUAGGUGGCAAGCGUUGUCCGGAUUUACUGGGCGUAAAGAGCGCGUAGGCGGUCGGUCAAGUCGCGUGUGAAAGCCCCCGGCUCAACUGGGGAGGGUCACGCGAUACUGCUCGACUCGAAGGCAGGAGAGGGUAGUGGAAUUCCCGGUGUAGUGGUGAAAUGCGUAGAUAUCGGGAGGAACACCAGUGGCGAAGGCGACUACCUGGCCUGUUCUUGACGCUGAGGCGCGAAAGCUAGGGGAGCAAACGGG
rnacentral:rRNA from 1 species